rnacentral:lncRNA from 1 species
ACGAUUCCAGCUCGCGCCUCUCCCUCCACACCUGCAUGCAAGCUGAGGGAGCUGGCUCCGGCCUUGGCCAGCCCAGAAAGGGGCUCCCACAGUGCAGCGGUGGGCUGAAGGCCUCCUCAAGUGCCGCCAAAGUGGGAGCCCAGGCAGAGGAGGCGCCGAGAGAGAGCGAGGGCUGUGAGGACUGCCAGCAGGCUGUCACCUCUCACUUCUGGGCUACAAACAUGGACAGCAUGUACUGAGGACUGGAGGCAACUGUAAUGCAACGGUAAGAGUUUUGUAGCUAAACCUAUCUAAACAUAGAAAAGAUACAGUAAAAAUAUGGCAUAAAAGAUUUAAAAAUGGUAUACUUGCAUAGGGGACACAUCAUAAAUGGACUAAAAGUUGCCCUGGGUGAGUGCGUGAACGGUGAGUGAAUGUGAAGUCCGAGGACAUUACUGUAUACUACAAUAGAUUUUAUAAAUUGUAAACUUAGACUACACGAAAUUUAUAAAGAAAUUUUCUUUCUUCAAUCAUAAUGAACCUUAGCUUAUCAUAACUUUCUUACUUUAUAAACCUUUUAAUUUUUAGAACAUUUUGACUCUGGUAAUAAUAACACAAAUGCAUUGUAUAGCUGUAAAAAUAUUUUCUUUCUUUAUAUUCUUAUUCUAUAAACUUUUCUAUCUAAAAUUUUAUUUAUUUAUUUUACUUUUUGUUAAAGGCUAAAACACAAAUACAUUAGUGUAGGCCUACACAGGAUCAGGAUCACCAAUAUCACUGUCUUCUACCUCCACAUCUUGUCCAAAUGGAAGGUCUUCAGGGGCAAUAGCAUCACGGAGCUGUCAUCUCCUGUGAUCAAAAUGCCUUCUUCUGGAAGACCUCCUGAAGGAGCUACUUGAGGCUGUUUUACAGUUAUCAUUUUUGUUGUUAUAAACAGAUAAUUACACUAUAAAAUAAUGAACAAAAGUCACUGCAGUAGGUUUGUUUAUACCAGCCUUCCUACAAACAUGUGAAUUAUGCACUGUGUUGUGACUUGUAACAGCUAUGCUGUUACUAGGUGAUAGAAACUUUUCAGCUUCAUUAUAAUCUUAUGGGACCACUGUCAAAUAUGCAGUUGGCAGAAAUACCCUUAUGUGGAACAUGACUGUUCUGAAAAGGACUGUUAUGAAAAGGAAAAACAAAUGUACUUUUAGCCUCGGAAGCCUACUAGGUAUGAUGAGCAUAACAAGAUCCCUGAGUUGAGAUUUCUGUUGUAGAAAGCUGCUUCAAAUAAGCCUUCGUGAGAACUCAAAGGUUUGCGACUAUGACUAUCAAAAAGCCACAAUUUGCAUUGCCCAGACCACAGCUUAUAUCUUACUGAAAACAUAAACAUGAAACUAAAUAUGAACCAUGUGGCCUAGAUUUUUAGCUAUCAAUACUUUUCUUUCUUUUUCCCCCACUUUGUACAAAGAAUACUUUGAUUUCUUCCAUCACAUUUCUUUUUCUUUGCAACUUGCAUCAAACACAGGCACCAUGCACAUGUACUUUGUUUGGGAUCCAGUGUUCCUCUCUUUACAAGUCAAUCCCUGAGGAUAGAUAGGGAGCAGCCAGUUGCUGAGCGCGAGAGCUUUCUUUUUCCCUAUGAAGUUCACUAAGAAGUACCCAAGGGGCUGUCUGCAGUUCAUUAUUACCGGAUAGGGCCUGAGCGGUGACCUUUCACUUCUGACCUGUGGAUCUAACUCUAGCAUUGUUUUUAGUGAGCAUGCUCACUAAAAACUUGGGGAUCAUCUGUAUCAAUGGAUAUCCUCAGAAGUUUUUAUUUUCUCUUUCUGUCAAACAAGCAAGUGAUAAUCUUGAUGUCUUAUGAAAGUCUUUGUACCAGUGUUUAUCAUUAAAAUAGCUAUGUCUAAAAUCCUGUGGGCUUACAUAGAAAAUAACUAAGUGUAGCCAAACACAUAUCAGGCAUUCCAGGUUCAAAUCCUAGCUAGGUGAGUUGGGGCAAGUUGUUCACUGGGCUACAGUUUCUUUGGCUACAAAGAGACGUGGUUGCCAAAGUCUGUCCAUCUCUAAUGUUGGAUAACAUCAACUAUGUGCAAAUUGUAAAUUUAGAAUUCUGCAAAAAUCCUAAAUUGCGUAGUUUGAGUGCUUAUUAUAUGGUUAAGGGAUUUUAAGACAGUCAUUUAACAAACAUCAAUUGCCCUCAUCCCAUGCACCGGGCAGACUUAUAGGUGCUAGAAUAGGACAUAGAGCAAGACAGACAUGAUUCGUACAAUCCCUGGACAAAUGUGCUGGUGGUAAAACUGGCCUGAGGUCCCACCAUGAUUAAGUAAUAAAGCCAGUUUUGAACUCAGGUCUGUAGGAUUACAACAUGCUUGUUCUUAUUCCCUAAGCUUUAUUGUCUCCUGACAUUGAAAGACCAAGGCUUUACGUCCCUGGCUUUGUCUUACAGGGACACAAAUGUGGUGGUGAUGGCUAGGAGGGCCUUUUCAUUCUUGAAGUUUAGCCCAAUAGGAAUUCAAUAUAUUCAUUGAAAAAGCAUCUAUUGACUGUCACCAUAAUUCUGGGAAUAUGGGAAAUUGUAGCAUGACACUGUAUUUCUAUUUAUACCUUCCUCAUAUCAGUGCAGAGUUAAUAUUGAGCCCUAUUUUCCCAACAUUUAUGCUACUUCCCCUGUACUUUACCUCUGUAAUAGGUCUGCUAUCAAGAUAAGUGAGGACAUUACAAAUUCUCCUGAAAGAAUGGACUCUAUAAAAUUAAGUAUUUCUUCUACUUAGUGUCAGAUCAGUGUGUUCUUCAGCAAAGACGUCACACUCAGAAUAAAAACCAACAACAAAAACAACAAGUGAACAGAACUUAGCAUUAUAAUUUACUAGCCUUUUGGAUUUG